rnacentral:rRNA from 1 species
UGACCUACCCAAAGAACAAGUCACGGCUAACUACGUGCCAGCAGCCGCGGUAAUACGUAGGUGACAAGCGUUAUCCGGAUUUACUGGGUGUAAAGGGCGUGUAGGCGGUUCUGUAAGUCAGAAGUGAAAUUCCCGGGCUCAACCUGGGCGCUGCUUCUGAAACUACAGAACUUGAGUACUGGAGGGGAAAGCGGAAUUCCUAGUGUAGCGGUAAAAUGCACAGAUAUUAGGAGGAACACCAGUGGCGAAGGCGGCUUACUGGGCGGUAACUGACGUUGAGGCUCGAAAGCGUGGGGAGCAAACAGGAUUAGAUACCCUG